AUUGAACGCUGGCGGCAGGCCUAACACAUGCAAGUCGAACGGUAACAGGAAGAAGCUUGCUUCUUUGCUGACGAGUGGCGGACGGGUGAGUAAUGUCUGGGAAACUGCCUGAUGGAGGGGGAUAACUACUGGAAACGGUAGCUGAUACCGCAUAACGUCGCAAGACCAAAGAGGGGGACCUUCGGGCCUCUUGCCAUCGGAUGUGCCCAGAUGGGAUUAGCUAGUAGGUGGGGUAACGGCUCACCUAGGCGACGAUCCCUAGCUGGUCUGAGAGGAUGACCAGCCACACUGGAACUGAGACACGGUCCAGACUCCUACGGGAGGCAGCAGUGGGGAAUAUUGCACAAUGGGCGCAAGCCUGAUGCAGCCAUGCCGCGUGUAUGAAGAAGGCCUUCGGGUUGUAAAGUACUUUCAGCGGGGAGGAAGGGAGUAAAGUUAAUACCUUGGCUCAUUGACGUUACCCGCAGAAGAAGCACCGGCUAACUCCGUG
rnacentral:rRNA from 1 species